rnacentral:rRNA from 1 species
GACGAACGCUGGCGGCGUGCUUAACACAUGCAAGUCGAACGGAAAGGCCCUGCUUGCAGGGUACUCGAGAGGCGAACGGGUGAGUAACACGUGGGUGAUCUGCCCUGCACUUCGGGAUAAGCCUGGGAAACUGGGUCUAAUACCGGAUAGGAGCCAUUUUUAGUGUGAUGGUUGGAAAGUUUUUUCGGUGUAGGAUGAGCUCGCGGCCUAUCAGCUUGUUGGUGGGGUAAUGGCCUACCAAGGCGGCGACGGGUAGCCGGCCUGAGAGGGUGGACGGCCACAUUGGGACUGAGAUACGGCCCAGACUCCUACGGGAGGCAGCAGUGGGGAAUAUUGCACAAUGGGCGCAAGCCUGAUGCAGCGACGCCGCGUGGGGGAUGACGGCCUUCGGGUUGUAAACGCCUUUCGCUAGGGACGAAGCUUUUUGUGACGGUACCUAGAUAAGAAGCACCGGCUAACUACGUG